GCGUCCUUAGUUCAGUUGGUAGAACGUCGGUCUCCAAAACCGGAUGUCGAGGGUUCAAGUCCUUCAGGGCGCGUCA
rnacentral:tRNA from 1 species